rnacentral:rRNA from 1 species
UUCGUGUUGAAUUGGGGGCUGUCGAGUAAACAGUGGCGUCCAUUUCCUCGUCUCAACGAGGAGGGACUCAACCAUUGCACUUGCAGCUCGAGAACGUUCAGAAACAAACUCACGGGAUCGUUUCCACCCAAACUACGCAUACGAUGUAUGCAGGGGGACGUCCGUGCACAUUACUGUGCAAACGAAGGGUGACUAAAGCAGUCAUUCGACAUGAAUUAGAAAGCAUGGGAUAACAAGGAGCAGCCUAUGGGCUUCCAUUUUGGCUUUUGUUGGUUUUAAAUGUUCGUGGGAGAUUUGGGUUCGCAAGAAAAGCUGUGCGGGAUGCGUUCCCGACAGUCCUUUAGGUCCCUUCGGGGUCUCUAACUUGUCGAGUCCAGGAAUGAAGGAGGGUUGUUCGGGGGAGAACGUACUUGGCGUGAGAGGUGAAAUUCUUAGACCGCUCAAAGACGAACUACAGCGAAGGCAUUCUCCAGGAUACCUUCCCCAAUCAAGAACCAAAGUGUGGAGAUCGAAGAUGAUUAGAUACCAUUGUGUCC